rnacentral:rRNA from 1 species
CCUACGGGAGGCAGCAGUGAGGAAUAUUGGUCAAUGGUCGGGAGACUGAACCAGCCAAGCCGCGUGAGGGAGGAAGGUACAGAGUAUCGUAAACCUCUUUUGUCAGGGAACAAAGGCGGGGACGUGUCCCCGGAUGAGUGUACCUGAAGAAAAAGCAUCGGCUAACUCCGUGCCAGCAGCCGCGGUAAUCCGGAGGAUGCGAGCGUUAUCCGGAUUUAUGGGGUUUAAAGGGUGCGCAGGCGGUCUGUUAAGUCAGCGGUCAAAGCCCGGGGCUCAACCCCGGCCCGCCGUUGAAACUGGCAGUCUCGAGUUGGAGAGAAGUAGGCGGAAUGCGCGGUGUAGCGGUGAAAUGCAUAGAUAUCGCGCAGAACUCCGAUUGCGAAGGCAGCAUGCCGGCUCCACACUGACGCUGAGGCACGAAAGCGUGGGUAUCGAACAGGAUUAGAUACCCGGGGAGUC